rnacentral:rRNA from 1 species
CCUACGGGAGGCAGCAGUGGGGAAUAUUGCACAAUGGGGGAAACCCUGAUGCAGCGACGCCGCGUGAGUGAAGAAGUAAUUCGUUAUGUAAAGCUCUAUCAGCAGGGAAGAAAAUGACGGUACCUGAGUAAGAAGCCCCGGCUAACUACGUGCCAGCAGCCGCGGUAAUAAGUAGGGGGCAAGCGUUAUCCGGAUUUACUGGGUGUAAAGGGAGCGUAGACGGCAGUGCAAGUCUGGAGUGAAAGGCGGGGGCUCAAACCCCGGACUGCUCUGGAAACUGUACGGCUGGAGUGCAGGAGAGGGAAGUGGAAUUCCUGGUGGAGCGGUGAAAUGCGUAGAUAUUAGGAGGAACACCAGUGGCGAAGGCGGCUUACUGGACUGUAACUGACGUUGAGGCUCGAAAGCGUGGGGAGCAAACAGGAUUAGAUACCCCGGUAGUC